rnacentral:misc_RNA from 1 species
GAAAUCCGAGGAACGUGCGGACAGCAAGGUGUGGGUCGAUGCGCAGGCUCAUGACGACAAUGCAGCAGCGCGGUGGAAGAAGUAAUGGCGAAGAAAGCGAAGAAAUCCCCGACAGCGAAGGCACCCGCGAAGAAGGCCUCCGCAAAGCGCGGCGCGGCGCGCACGGCAACGAAGAAGCUUUUGAAGCCAGCAUCGCCGAAGGUGCUGCCCGGCGAACUGCUGACGCUGCUCGACCUGAUGCGCUACGGUGUCAGCCGCUUUGUCGAGGCCGGACUGGUGUUCGCCCAGGGCACCACCGAUCCGGUGGCGGAAGCGGCGUUUAUCGUGUGCGAGACG